CUACGUGCCAGCAGCCGCGGUAAUACGUAGGUGGCAAGCGUUGUCCGGAAUUAUUGGGCGUAAAGCGCGCGCAGGCGGAUUGGUCAGUCUGUCUUAAAAGUUCGGGGCUUAACCCCGUGAUGGGAUGGAAACUGCCAAUCUAGAGUAUCGGAGAGGAAAGUGGAAUUCCUAGUGUAGCGGUGAAAUGCGUAGAUAUUAGGAAGAACACCAGUGGCGAAGGCGACUUUCUGGACGAUCACUGACGCUGAGGCGCGAAAGCCAGGGGAGCGAACGGGAUUAGAUACCCCGGUAGUCCUGGCCGUAAACGAUGGGUACUAGGUGUAGGAGGUAUCGACCCCUUCUGUGCCGGAGUUAACGCAAUAAGUACCCCGCCUGGGGAGUACGACCGCAAGGUUGAAACUCAAAGGAAUUGACGGGGGCCCGCACAAGCGGUGGAGUAUGUGGUUUAAUUCGACGCAACGCGAAGAACCUUACCAGGUCUUGACAUUGAKGACAGAACUAGAGAUAG
rnacentral:rRNA from 1 species